rnacentral:rRNA from 1 species
GAUGAACGCUGGCGGCGUGCUUAACACAUGCAAGUCGAACGGUGAACGAGGGAGCUUGCUCCCUCCGGAUCAGUGGCGAACGGGUGAGUAACACGUGAGCAAUCUGCCCUGGACUCUGGGAUAAGCGUUGGAAACGACGUCUAAUACCGGAUACGAGGCGUGGGGGCAUCCCCAACGCCUGGAAAGAACUUCGGUCCAGGAUGAGCUCGCGGCCUAUCAGCUUGUUGGUGAGGUAACGGCUCACCAAGGCGACGACGGGUAGCCGGCCUGAGAGGGUGACCGGCCACACUGGGACUGAGACACGGCCCAGACUCCUACGGGAGGCAGCAGUGGGGAAUAUUGCACAAUGGGCGCAAGCCUGAUGCAGCAACGCCGCGUGAGGGACGACGGCCUUCGGGUUGUAAACCUCUUUUAGCAGGGAAGAAGCGAAAGUGACGGUACCUGCAGAAAAAGCACCGGCUAACUACGUGCCAGCCGCCGCCGUAAAAC